GUGUGUGGAUAGUGUUCAGCACUAAUUAAGGACAUAUGUGUUUACAUGUACCUGUGUGUGGAUAGUGUUCAGCACCAAGGACAGGUGUGUUUGCCU
rnacentral:pre_miRNA from 1 species